rnacentral:rRNA from 1 species
AUACGUAGGGGGCGAGCGUUGUCCGGAAUGACUGGGCGUAAAGGGCGUGUAGGCGGUUGAAUAAGUCUGGAGUGAAAGUCCCGGUUUCAAGUUGGGAACUGCUUUGGAUACUGUUCAACUUGAGUGCGGAAGAGGUAAGUGGAAUUCCCAGUGUAGCGGUGAAAUGCGUAGAGAUUGGGAGGAACACCAGGGGCGAAGGCGGCUUACUGGGCCGUACCUGACGCUGAGGCGAGAAAGCGUGGGGAGCGAACAGGAUUAGAUACCCUGGUAGUCCACGCGGUAAACGAUGAAUGCUAGGUGUUGCGGGUAGCGACCCCUGCAGUGCCGGAGUAAACACAAUAAGCAUUCCGCCUGGGGAGUACGGCCGCAAGGUUGAAACUCAAAUGAAUUGACGGGG